rnacentral:rRNA from 1 species
UACGGGAGGCAGCAGUGGGGAAUAUUGCACAAUGGGCGAAAGCCUGAUGCAGCUAUGCCGCGUGUAUGAAGAAGGCCUUAGGGUUGUAAAGUGCUUUCAUCGGGGAGGAAAAACAAAACUAAUAAUUUUAUUUCUUGACGUUACCCGAAAAAGAAGCACCGGCUAACUCCGUGCCAGCAGCCGCGGUAAUACGGAGGGUGCUAGCGUUAAUCAGAAUUACUGGGCGUAAAGAGCACGUAGGUGGUUUUUUUAAGUCAGAUGUGAAAUCCCUGGGCUUAACCUAGGAACUGCAUUUUGAAACUGAAAUACUAGAGUAUCGUAGAGGGAGGUAGAAUUCUAGGUGUAGCGGUGAAAUGCGUAGAUAUCUGGAGGAAUACCUGUGGCGAAAGCGGCCUCCUAAACGAAUACUGACACUGAGGUGCGAAAGCGUGGGGAGCAAACAGGGAUUAGAUACC